AUUGAACGCUGGCGGCAGGCCUAACACAUGCAAGUCGAGCGGAUGAAGGGAGCUUGCUCCUGGAUUCAGCGGCGGACGGGUGAGUAAUGCCUAGGAAUCUGCCUGGUAGUGGGGGAUAACGUCCGGAAACGGGCGCUAAUACCGCAUACGUCCUGAGGGAGAAAGUGGGGGAUCUUCGGACCUCACGCUAUCAGAUGAGCCUAGGUCGGAUUAGCUAGUUGGUGGGGUAAAGGCCUACCAAGGCGACGAUCCGUAACUGGUCUGAGAGGAUGAUCAGUCACACUGGAACUGAGACACGGUCCAGACUCCUACGGGAGGCAGCAGUGGGGAAUAUUGGACAAUGGGCGAAAGCCUGAUCCAGCCAUGCCGCGUGUGUGAAGAAGGUCUUCGGAUUGUAAAGCACUUUUGGUGGGGAGGAAGGGCAGUAAGUUAAUACCUUGCUGUUUUGACGUUACCAACAGAAUAAGCACCGGCUAACUUCGUG
rnacentral:rRNA from 1 species